rnacentral:lncRNA from 1 species
AACCGUUACUUCGCUCCCUCAGGUUCAUCAUUUCAUAAGGUGAUUCAAAUUCGACUCAUAACCCGUCUUAAAAUGUCCAUUUUUAUAAUAUACUGAAUCACCAUAAUAAUAGUUUUCCCUAAACCGCUAUAUUAGGGAGACUAAAUUCCUCUAACUAAGUGGCUUGCUACGAGGCGGUGUAGUUCUGACAGAAUUCACUAGAACUUCUCAAGAUGUCCAAGAUUGCAACCAUGCUCUGAUACCAACUGACACACCCCGUCCCGAAGGAGGGCAUGCUGGCCGUCACGUGAGAGUGACGUAACCAUUUGCACAGUACGGAAGCUUUAAGAUACAAUUUAUAAGUUGAUACACCCGAAGGUGAGUCCUAAUUUUGUCCAAUCUGUCAGAACACCGUCGAAUUCCUCGUAGUCACCACACCUUUGUGAUUCCUGAACCUGGAGGGGCGCAAAACCAAAAUUGAGUGGGUCAGUAAAACAAUUCUUUUCCAAAUCCAAACAUUUCUCAAAACGUUGUAACCCCUCUCCGUAAAACCUGUAUACUUUCCCCAGAAAUGUAAAAUAUAAAUAUACAUAUAUAUUCUCAAUACUUUAAUUCAUUAACUCAACAUUUUUUCUUUAUCAAUCAUGCCAUGCCAUGUCUAAUUCAACAGUUAAGUAUGGAUGCAUCAACAAUAAUCAUAUCAGGUGCAAGAAAGUAAUCAACCGGAGGCCCUCUAAUAGCCCUGUACGGUUGAACCUAGAGCUCAAAAUCUAUCACUAUCACUCUACCGGAGUCACCUCUGUGACCCGUCCGGCCUUCUGCACACAAGUUACGCUCUAGUGCUUUCUCAUCAAUCAUCUGUGCACAUAAUCUAAGGUCACCCACCAGUCGAAAUCUCACUAACACUCUUCGACUGGCCCGUCGCAACCCACUCCGCGUGGACUGUACGACCAGCAUCUACUUGGAUCCAAGGCGAGCGUGCGAUGCGGUGAAUACUAUAAGCACUAAACCAUGGUGCAGGAUUUGAGCUCAAUAUAUAUCAACAUCAUCAUAACAGUAAUUAAAUACUCACCUGAUACUCACCUGUGCGUCCGCCGCACCAUUCAUUCAUAUGCAUCAUAUCUCAAUUCAUACUUUUCAUAUCAUUUCAUGCAUGGCAAUUCGAUUCACAUUUCUAUAUACUUUUCAUAUACUUUUCAUGCAUGACAUUUCAACUAAUAUAUCUCAUAUACUUUUAUACAUUUUCAUUAAAAAGCAUAAUUUCAUGCAUUUUCAAUUUCUAGGAAACGGCAAGUAUAUAUGUAUACGGAAAACAAAACUGCCCACUCACCUGGAGUUCGUCCAACAACUCCCUAGCACCACACAUCAAGGCGUCACGACGAUCGCCGCCUAGAAUAGUAAUCAAAUCCAACCUCAGAAUUCAUAUCGAUAGAAUAUAACUUAUAUAAAAUACGUCACUACGUAGAUCGAUCCGGAAGAUCUGCCACUCAGAUUUUAAAUCCAUAACUUCCAGAGGUCCACAAUAUAUCUCUAGGAUAACAUCCUAAAAUUUCAUUACC